UGUAAUGGGAGGACAAUACAGUUGACGAAGACAUAGUCUCACAGACAAUAUUGUGUAUUGCGCUAAUGUUAACUGUAAGACUGUGUCUCUGUUGACAUGUACAAUCAUCAAAUCAU
rnacentral:pre_miRNA from 1 species